CUUGUUUCAAAGCAGCUAGGCCUAGUGCAGGGGGCAGUUCUUAACCCACAAACAGUACUAAGAAGAGGAUCCUACUUGUUAGAAUGACUUGAAUGUGCAAACCAAUGUGGCCCAGUCUGGAUGAUAUGUACACACUGCAUUGUGCUAUUGUGCAAUGCAUUUAAAUUUUCUGAGCAUGCUUCAGAAACCUCAUGAGUCUCAACUUAGGAGAUGGUGCUAGCAUGCUGUAUGAGACUGUGUUGCUGUUGUACGCAAAUGCACUCAGGUGAAUUAUUAUUUUCUUUUUUCUUCAGCAUUUAACUCCAACAUGGAGCUGGAAAUGAGCACAUAUCCAGGUGAUGUUCUAUCAGGAUGGAGUCUGAUGUCUUGUCAGAUCAUGUAAUGUAGCUGCCAGAAGUGAGCUAGAGCCAGAGAAACAUCCUGGAAACUUGGAAGACCAAAUGACUGGCAAGAAGGCUCAAGAAAUCCUACGGACAGAAGACACAUCUAGUAGAAGGCCACACAGCUCUUCUGUUCCGCCUAUUCAGUUUUUAGUAUUUUCCACACUUUUGUAUGUCUAAUUUUCUAAAUUUCAAUAUUA